UACGAAGGGUGCAAGCGUUGUUCGGAAUUACUGGGCGUAAAGGGCUCGUAGGCGGCCAACUAAGUCAGACGUGAAAUCCCCAGGCUCAACUUGGGAACUGCGUCUGAUACUGGAUGGCUUGAAUUCGGGAGAGGGAUGCAGAAUUCCAGGUGUAGCGGUGAAAUGCGUAGAUAUCUGGAGGAACACCGGUGGCGAAGGCGGCAUUCUGGACUGCAACUGACACUGAGAGACGAAAGCCAGGGGAGCAAACGGG
rnacentral:rRNA from 1 species